CCUACGGGUGGCAGCAGUGAGGAAUAUUGGUCAAUGGACGAGAGUCUGAACCAGCCAAGUAGCGUGAAGGAUGACUGCCCUAUGGGUUGUAAACUUCUUUUAUAUGGGAAUAAAAUGUUCCACGUGUGGGAUUUUGUAUGUACCAUAUGAAUAAGGAUCGGCUAACUCCGUGCCAGCAGCCGCGGUAAUACGGAGGAUCCGAGCGUUAUCCGGAUUUAUUGGGCUUAAAGGGAGCGUAGGUGGAUUGUUAAGUCAGUUGUGAAAGUUUGCGGCUCAACCGUAAAAUUGCAGUUGAAACUGGCAGUCUUGAGUACAGUAGAGGUGAGCGGAAUUCGUGGUGUAGCGGUGAAAUGCUUAGAUAUCACGAAGAACUCCGAUUGCGAAGGCAGUUCACUGGACUGCAACUGACACUGAGGCUCGAAAGUGUGGGUAUCAAACAGGAUUAGAUACCCUUGUAGUC
rnacentral:rRNA from 1 species